UUGCUGAACUGCCAAGAUCCAAAUAUGUUUCAAACUUAAAUGUGGGUUGUUUAGGAGUUGAGCAUUUCAUUUCACUGUUUAACAUGAGAAUUAUGGCUGCCAUGGUAGGACGAUCCCUAGGACAUUCUUGAACACAGAGAAGACCGACAUGUAAGCAUCGCGUUAUCUCUUCUGGAGAAAAUGAGUUGAUUAAUGUCCCAUCCAUGAAGUCUAAUCCCCUUUCUUCACUCCACAAUUUCCAUGCCUGCAAUAGUUGUAUACACUGUCAUGAGGUUAAAUACAAAAAAAUGAGUGAAGUUGAUCAAAUAGUAAUGGAGCAUCAGAGAAAGAGUGUAUUAACAUAAUUGAGAAGGUUAAGAUUCUCUUCAACGUAAUGGAAACUUGAAUUUUUCUUGCCACUUAUGAUUUCUAAUAGCAAGACUCCGAAGCUGAAGACAUCAGAUUUCUCAGAGAAUACGCCCCUCAAUCGAGGACAUUCUUGAACACAGAGAAGACCAACACGUAAGCAUCGCGUUAUCUCUUCUGGAGAAAAUGAGUUGAUUAACGUCCCAUCCAUAAAGUCUAAUCCCCUUUGUUCACUCC
rnacentral:lncRNA from 1 species